AGAUCAAGCUACAAAGGGCGCACGGUGCAUGCCCUGGCACUAGGAGCCGAUGAAGGACGUGAUAAGCUGCGAUAAGCUACAUGUAGGCGCACACAGCCUGUGAUAUGUAGAUUUCCGAAUGGGGAAACCCAUCUAGUUAUGCUAGAUACUGUAUACCGAAUACAUAGGUAUAUGGAGGUACACCUGGGGAACUGAAACAUCUAAGUACCCAGAGGAAGAGAAAGAAAAUUCGAUUCCCUAAGUAGCGGCGAGCGAAAGGGGAAGAGCCCAAACCAGGAACUUGUUCCUGGGGUUGCGGAUAGAUCAUAACGCUUUGAUUUCUUUAGUUGAAGAGAACUGGAAAGUUCCGUCGUAGAAGGUAAUAACCCUGUAGGCGAAAAGGAAAGAAAAGUAGAUCUACUCCAGAGUACCACGAGACACGUGAAACCUUGUGGGAAGCUGGGAGGACCAUCUCCCAAGGCUAAAUACUACCUAGUGACCGAUAGUGAAGCAGUACCGUGAGGGAAAGGUGAAAAGA
rnacentral:rRNA from 1 species